rnacentral:rRNA from 1 species
GAACGCUGGCGGAGGUCUAACACAUGCAAGUCGCAGCGGCAGCGCGGGUGGUUAGCAAUACCAUUGGCGGCGAGCGGGCGGACGGGUGAGGAACCACAUCGGAAUCUACCCUUGUCGUGGGGGAUAACGUAGGGAAACCUUACGCUAAUACCGCAUACGACCUUUGGGUGAAAGCGGGGGGACCAGCAAUGGCCUCCGCGCGAUUGGAUGAGCCGAAUGUCCGAUUAGCUAGUUGGCGGGGUAAUGGCCCACCAAGGCGACGAUCGGUAGCUGGUCUGAGAGGACGACCAGCCACACUGGAACUGAGACACGGUCCAGACUCCUACGGGAGUGCAGCAGUGGGGAAUAUUGGACAAUGGGGGCAACCCUGAUCCAGCCAUGCCGCGUGGGUGAAGAAGGCCUUCGGGUUGUAAAGCCCUUUUGUACGGGAAGAAAAGCUCUUGGUGAAUAUCCGGGAGUCAUAACAAAACCGUAAGAAUAAGCACCGGCUAACUUCGUGCCAGCAGCCGCGGUAAUACGAAGGGUGCAAGCGUUACUCGGAAUUACUGGGCGUAAAGCGUGCGUAGGCGGUAUGUUAAGUCUGAUGUGAAAUCCCCGGGCUCAACCUGGGAAUGGCAUUGGAUACUGGCAGGCUAGAGUACGGUAGAGGGUGGUGGAAUUCCCGGUGGUAGCAGUGAAAUGGCGUAAGAGAUCCGGGAGGAACAUUCUGGUGGCGAAGGCGGCCACCUGGACCAGUACUGAACGCUGAGGCACGAAAGCGUGGGGAGCAAACAGGAUUAGAUACCCUGGUAUGUCCACGCCCUAAACGAUGCGCACUCCAUAGUGUGGCGGGGAACUUGCCCUUCAGUAUCGAAGCUAACGCGUUAAGUUCGCCGCUGGGAGAUGCACGGUCGCAAGACUGAAACUCAAAGGAAUUGACGGGGGCCCGCACAAGCGGUGGAGUAUGUGGUUUAAUUCGAUGCAACGCGAAGAACCUUACCUGGCCUUGACAUCCACGGAACUUUCCAGAGAUGGAUUGGUGCCUUCGGGAACCGUGAGACAGGUGCUGCAUGGCUGUCGUCAGCUCGUGUCGUGAGAUGUUGGGUUAAGUCCCGCAACGA